rnacentral:lncRNA from 1 species
UGUGUUUACAGGUUACUAAGCAGCCAUCACCUAACCCCCCCCUUUAUUCCCCUGUCAAUACCUGCAAAACAGCUGUAGAAGAACAAACAGCUCUUUGUGGCCCUUUGAAAAGGCUCAGAGAGGCCAACAGUGCCCUGGGAUAUCUCACACUGAGGGUGAACAGCGCGGGCUCUUUGCUGGAUUAUCACCGCUGAAAGGAGCUGCAAAGCAUCCAACUCCACAAAUGAAAGAUGUUAAUAGAGCGGUCCCAGCGGAGGGAGAGGCUGUAGAUUACGUGGAGCUGCUUUCACAUCCUGCGAAAUGUGCAGAUUUAAAUAACAUUCCCCUCUCACAAGGAUAAAUCUCCGCGCUCGCCACAAAGAGCCGCAGCCCGGGCCCACGCCAGGCUCCUCCAGAGGGCUCAUGGGAGACAUGGGUGAAGCACUGAAGACCUGGAAUUUGUGUCCCCUGCUCGAUGCAGGGGUCCCAAACAGCUCCACUAGGACACCACAACAAGAGGCAGCAGAUCCCAGGAGGGUUUUCUCCUGCUGCUUUACAACAAAGGACUUGGGAGGUUGAGAAGGGGAGUUUCCCAUCCCACUGGGAAGGUCUCAAAUAUCCUGGCAAGGAUUCAUCAGGACUAGGAAGCACUUCCCAUUCUGAGGGAACUGCUGAUGAAGGAUGA